GUUCAUGACAAAAAAGCCAAUAGAUUUGGGGUCCACUUCCCAGUGAAACAAAUGUUCAUUGCGGACAAUACGAAGACGAUGAUUGGUACAAUGAGGUGAAUAUAUUAGAAUUUUUAUUCUUCUCUCUCCAUGUCUAUGUUUGUGCUUGAUCAACUGUCCACUUAAUGAUUUUAGUUGUACAAAGUCCUAAGCUGGUCUCACUAGGUCGUACCCAGUGCCGGAGACAGGGGGGACCAGCAGGGGCCCUGGCCCCCCCUAACACCAUGAUUUUGCAUGUAAUUUGCUAUGAACAGUGGCAAAAUUAGUACUAAUUUGCUGCUAAAAAUCUAUUUUUCAACACUUUGGUCCUCCCCAACCAGUUUUAGUAGCACUUGGCCUCCCUUAUAGAUAUUUUCUGGCUCCGCCACUGGUUCGUACUCGUACCACACCGUGGGAAGGUUAUGGCCAAGAAUGAGCUGGAGGUUAUUGCUUUGGCGACGCCGAAGGCCGUUCACGCGAAGAGGAGAUGUGCCUGGUGACGAGAAGUCUUAGACCACCGGCUGCAAGGUUGCACCUUGGAGUUCAAAAUUUGGUGUCUUCGCAUUGAAGGAUUCAAUCCAUCGACUUUGGAGUUUGAACAUGUCACUUGUGAUGGGGAGAGGAAGAGAUGACUUGCAUACACUGGACAAUGAGUGUGUUAGCAGCGUGGUGGCUCAGGACUGUACAAGUUGUAGUAGCCCCUUCCCUUAUAAAUGUUUUGUUUUGAUUGGAAGCACCUUAUAAUUAGCUAAUAUAUGGAUUUCAUUUACAUCGUCUGUCCAAGUAUGCGAGGCCCAUGAGAUGGGCAUUAAUCACUUCUCUUUUUUGUCAGUAUUUUGAUAGGGGACCUAUGUAUAUGGGAAGGAGUUAGUAUCAUGUAAAUCGUAUCACCAAUUUAAGGAUCCUCAUGUUUUCUUACUUUUCAACACUUAUUUGUGAUUU